CCAAAUCUUUGUUUUGAGAAAAAAAAAAAUGGAAAAUGAGAAUAAAAAGGGAUAGGUGCAGAGACUCAAUGGAAGCUGUUCUAACGAAUGAAAUUGACUACGUUACGUUAGUAGCUAAAAUCCUUCCAGAAAGGAUAACCUUAUAUACCUAAUACAUACGUAUACAUACUGACAUAGCAAACGAUUAAUCACAACCCGAACCUUCUAUUUUAUAAUACAUAUUAGUCUUAUAUACUAUAUACUAUUAUGAUAUGAGUAUUAGUAAGAGUAUAGGAUAGGGAUCUAUGGAAACCCUCUAUUUCUAUUCUCUAUUAAUUACUAUUAAUUAGAAUGAUAGAGAUCAAAAAAUCUAUCAAAAAUUGAAGAAUUAUUGUGAAUCAAUUCCAAUUGAAGUUGAAAAAAGAAUCGAAUUCAAAUAUUCAGUGAUCAAAUGAUUCAUUCCAGAGUUUGAUAGAUCUUUUGAAGAUUAAUUGGACGAGAAUAAAGAGAGAGUCCCAUUUUACAUGUCAAUACCGACAACAAUGAAAUUUAUAGUAAGAGGAAAAUCCGUCGAAUUUGAAAAUCGUGAGGGUUCAAGUCCCUCUAUCCCCAAGAUCCCCAAGAAAAAGCCCAUUUUACUUCCUCACUCUUUCUUUAUCCUCAUUCUCUUUUUUUUAAUCAGUGGUUCAGUUCAAACAAAAUUCAAUAUCUUUCUCAUUUCAUUCACUCUGUUCUUUUGCAACUGGAUCCAAAUAGAAAUCCUCGUAUCUUCUUCCAAUCUUGUAUAGUACGAUACCUGUACAAAUGAACAUAUAUGUUCAAGGAAUCUCCGUUAUUGAAUCAUUCACAGUCCAUAUCAUUAUACAAAGAAAGUCUUCUUUUUGAAGACCUAAGAAAUUCAGGGGCUAGGUCCAAUUUGUUAAGACUUUUUUAGUUCCUUU
rnacentral:misc_RNA from 1 species